AGUGAACGCUGGCGGUAGGCCUAACACAUGCAAGUCGAACGGCAGCACAGGAGAGCUUGCUCUCUGGGUGGCGAGUGGCGGACGGGUGAGGAAUACAUCGGAAUCUACUCUGUCGUGGGGGAGAACGUAGGGAAACUUACGCUAAUACCGCAUACGACCUACGGGUGAAAGCAGGGGACCUUCGGGCCUUGCGCGAUUGAAUGAGCCGAUGUCGGAUUAGCUAGUUGGCGGGGGUAAAGGCCCACCAAGGCGACGAUCCGUAGCUGGUCUGAGAGGAUGAUCAGCCACACUGGAACUGAGACACGGUCCAGACUCCUACGGGAGGCAGCAGUGGGGAAUAUUGGACAAUGGGCGCAAGCCUGAUCCAGCCAUACCGCGUGGGUGAAGAAGGCCUUCGGGUUGUAAAGCCCUUUUGUUGGGAAAGAAAUCCAGCUGGCUAAUACCCGGUUGGGAUGACGGUACCCAAAGAAUAAGCACCGGCUAACUUCGUGCCAGCCGCCGCUGUAA
rnacentral:rRNA from 1 species